GACGAACGCUGGCGGUGCGCCUAACACAUGCAAGUCGAACGGAGCUGAGAGAAGCUUGCUUUUCUUAGCUUAGUGGCGAACGGGUGAGUAACGCGUGAGUAAACUGCGCUGGAGUGGGGGACAACAGCUGGAAACGACUGCUAAUACAGCAUAAGCCCACGAUCCGGCAUCGGAUUGAGGGAAGAGGAUUUAUUGGCAUUAGGAUGGACUCGCGUCCAAUUAGCUAGUUGGUGAGGUAACGGCCCACCAAGGCGACGAUUGGUAGCCGGACUGAGAGGUUGAACGGCCACAUUGCGACUGAGACACGGCCCAGACUGCUACAGGAGGCAGCAGUGGGGGAUAUUGCACAAUGGAGGAGACCCAGAUACAGCGACGCCGCGUGGAGGAAGAAGGUUUUCGGAUUGUAAACUCCUGUCGUUAGGGACGAUAAUGACGGUACCUAACAAGAAAGCACCGGCUAACUACGUG
rnacentral:rRNA from 1 species